rnacentral:rRNA from 1 species
AUUGAACGCUGGCGGCAGGCUUAACACAUGCAAGUCGAACGAGUGGCGGACGGGUGAGUAAUGUCUGGGAACCUGCCCGAUGGAGGGGGAUAACUACUGGAAACGGUAGCUAAUACCGCAUACCAUCGGAUGUGCCCAGCUGGGAUUAGCUAGUUGGUGGGGUAAAGGCUCACCUAGGCAACGAUCCCUAGCUGGUCUGCGAGGAUGACCAGCCACACUGGGACUGAGACACGGCCCAGACUCCUACGGGAGGCAGCAGUGGUGAAUAUUGCACAAUGGGCGCAAGCCUGAUGCAGCUAUGCCGCGUGUAUGAAGAAGGCCUUCGGGUUGUAAAGUACUUUCAGCGAGGAGGCGUUACUCGCAGAAGAAGCACCGGCUAGCGCCGUGCCAGCAGCCGCGGUAAUUC